rnacentral:rRNA from 1 species
AGAAUCAACGCUGGCGGCGUGCCUAACACAUGCAAGUCGAGCGCGAAAGGGGAGCAAUCCCCAAGUAGAGCGGCGAACGGGUGAGUAACGCGUGGGUAAUCUACCUCCGAGUGGGGAACAACAGCGGGAAACUGCUGCUAAUACCGCAUGACAUCGUCGAGCCUUCGGGUUUGACGAUCAAAGCCGGGGACCGCAAGGCCUGGCGCUUGGAGAGGAGCCCGCGUCCGAUUAGCUAGUUGGCGGGUAACGGCCCACCAAGGCUCCGAUCGGUA